rnacentral:rRNA from 1 species
CACGUAGGGGGCGAGCGUUGUCCGGAUUCAUUGGGCGUAAAGGGCGCGCAGGCGGCCCGGAAAGUCGGAUGUGAAAACUCGAGGCUCAACCUCGAGCGUGCACCCGAUACUGCCGGGCUUGAGGCAGGUAGGGGAGAUCGGAAUUCCUGGUGUAGCGGUGAAAUGCGCAGAUAUCAGGAGGAACACCGGUGGCGAAGGCGGCCUGCUGGGCAGUUGCUGACACUGAGGCGCGACAGCGUGGGGAGCAAACAGG